AAGAAGUUCAUCUUGGAUUUAUGUUGGUUGCAAUGGGAAUCCUUUGAAUUGCCAUUGUUGCAAGCUGCAUGCACUAUCAAUUCUAUUCAUAGAAUCUCAGGCCAAUAUCGGUGCAAGCUAACAUAGACCUAAAAGUACUCCAAAAAGAUACAGACCAUAGCUAUAAGGGUCCUCUAAAAUGCAUCGGCAAUUGCUGCAUCAAUACCAAUUGUAUCAAACUCGAUCUCGUCUUCGGUUCGUCGAGCCACUUCUACCCUAAAGCUGUUGCAGAGAUCAUCAAAGUCUCCCAUUGAUGCAUAAGCACCAAAAUAGUGAACACUCACUGUCUGCAAAGACAAAGGGUAGGGUCCUAUAAGAUUAUUUGGUUUUAUGACACAAAGAAACCCAUAAAUUUGAGAACCUUGAGAACAGGAUGUGUAACACUUGACAAUUAACUCCAGCAAAUGGUAUGAUAUUAGAUAAUGGGAUACUUGGAAAGGAAGGUAAAAGUGGAAUGUUAUUUUUUAUGAUAUUAAUAUAUUUAUUUAUUUAUAAAAAUAUAUAAAAAAUUUAAAAUAUUCAUAUAUUUAUGUUGUAUUAUACUUUAUAAGUAUCAGAUAUCCAUCUUUAAAUGUAAUAGAAGAGGUAACAGUUGAAAUCUCAUCGAAUACCCUACCGAGUACUUUUAUUAAUAAGGGAAUAUGUCAUACUACCCAAGCUUCAACGACAUAAUUGAAUAAGGAAAUAUGUAAAUUUUUUUAUAUUCUAUAUUUUCAUUCUUUACGAUCAUGUUUGAAGUUCAUGAAUAUUUUUCUCAACAAUGUAGUCGUCAAAAUUCAAACAUGCAUCUCUUAGUAUAUCUUUAUUUUCUACUUUUGACAAUUAAUCUUCGAAGUAUAAUAUAAUAAACCAAUUCAUCUACGAAGUAUAAUAUAAUAAUCUAUCUUUUUAAAAAAAAAUUAUUUUAUGUUUGGAUGAAGAUAAUCCAUCCUUGUGAUAUAGUAGUAUAAACAACUGAAAAUUGCAGACUUUCCCAAUGAUAAUUGCUGCAACAUUUUACUUCCUAAUAAUAGUAAUCUAGAUAGAAUUAAUAGAUAGUUUAAAUAAUAAAAAAAUUAAAUAAAACCCCAAAUCAAAUUCAUAUUCUUGGCAUGUUCUUCUGGCUAUAUAUAGUUUGUAUUUUUAUUUGAAAAAUACUUCAUUAAAACAAGGGCAGGCAGGCAUAGAAUGGAAAGCAUGUGGUCUACCAGCCAAGGCUCUUCCCCUCAAUAUAUAGGCAAGCAUUUGGUCCAUCACAGUUGAUUCACUUCAUUUUUACACCCACUUUAUAUACACACAACUAUUUAGUUAAAGGUUUUCAAUUAUGGAAAAUAGAAAAGAGGGUGAAAUUGAGGACAUGCCAAUGCCAUUGUCCCCACCAACAAUGGGGUCUAUGCAGAUUGCAGGAAGCAAUGGUUUUGGUCAUAACAUUGAGUUCAUGUCUCAGGCUUACCUCAGAAACCGAUACUCUGAGAUUGAUAUUGAGGACUACACCGUGUAUGCUGAUAAAGACCACCCUCUCCCCAUAUUUCUCAAGGUAGUUGAUUUCUUGGGUUCUUU
rnacentral:lncRNA from 1 species